rnacentral:lncRNA from 1 species
UGGAUUUUGGACUGAAUUGAGGAUUUUUGGUGUUAUAGUUUGGAGUUAGCUCGAUUGCGAGAAUCGGGCGUUUUCAGUCGAUCCAGCAGGCGGUGCCGCAGCCGAGGGGAUCCUGUGCUGCCAGGGAUUAGCGUGCGAGGUGAGUUACAUCGGUUUUGACUCCUAAAUUCUAAUCGUCAACAUGUAUAGAUCUCGAUUGUUGGUGUAGCCUUUUCUAGCUUGAAUUCAUGGAUUAUAUGGUAGAUUGCGUAUCUGAAUUUGGAGCAUGUGGUAAUAAAUUGAAUAGGUUAUACAUGUUGGAUUUGGAUAUUGAAUUAGGAGAAAACCUGCGUUUUGGACCUGUCACUUGUUUAAACUGCCUGAUUUAGCUCUAGGAGCCGUUAUAAAAUUGUACUGUCGCAGUAUCCUCGAGACGAGUACUCCAGAUAGUUUAGAGUACAUUUAUGCUCGUGCUGGUACGCCGAGUGGAUUUUUAUAGGAUCGUUUGGGCUGUUUUGGACUGUUGGGUGCCGUAAGAGUUGACGUGGACCCGGAUCGCCUUUUUGGCGACAGAUUGUGUCGAGGGCACGUGAACUGUUGGUUAUUAGACUAAUUAGAGUCGGUUACUUGACUUUGGCUUUUCAGAACCUGAUUGAGCUUGACAGAGAU